rnacentral:rRNA from 1 species
GGAAGUAAAAGUCGUAACAAGGUUUCCGUAGGUGAACCUGCGGAAGGAUCAUUACCUAGAGUUUGUGGACUUCGGUCUGCUACCUCUUACCCAUGUCUUUUGAGUACCUUCGUUUCCUCGGCGGGUCCGCCCGCCGGUUGGACAACAUUCAAACCCUUUGCAGUUGCAAUCAGCGUCUGAAAAAACUUAAUAGUUACAACUUUCAACAACGGAUCUCUUGGUUCUGGCAUCGAUGAAGAACGCAGCGAAAUGCGAUAAGUAGUGUGAAUUGCAGAAUUCAGUGAAUCAUCGAAUCUUUGAACGCACAUUGCGCCCCUUGGUAUUCCAUGGGGCAUGCCUGUUCGAGCGUCAUUUGUACCUUCAAGCUCUGCUUGGUGUUGGGUGUUUUGUCUCGCCUCCGCGCGCAGACUCGCCUUAAAACAAUUGGCAGCCGGCGUAUUGAUUUCGGAGCGCAGUACAUCUCGCGCUUUGCACUCAUAACGACGACGUCCAAAAGUACAUUUUUACACUCUUGACCUCGGAUCAGGUAGGGAUACCCGCUGAACUUAAGCAUAUCAAUAAGCGGAGGA